rnacentral:rRNA from 1 species
UACGUAGGGUGCAAGCGUUGUCCGGAAUUAUUGGGCGUAAAGAGCUCGCAGGCGGUCUGUCGCGUCGGCUGUGAAAACCCGGGGCUCAACCCCGGGCCUGCAGUCGAUACGGGCAGACUAGAGUGCGGUAGGGGAGACUGGAAUUCCUGGUGUAGCGGUGGAAUGCGCAGAUAUCAGGAGGAACACCAAUGGCGAAGGCAGAUCUCUGGGCCGUAACUGACGCUGAGGAGCGAAAGCAUGGGGAGCGAACAGG